GAGGACUCCUGUGCUGUGUCUGUCAGAAUUGCUGGUGCUGCCCAUGCACACAGCCCUGUGCCCGACUGGCCAUGAGUUACUGAGUUCCUACAUGGAUGAGCUGCCAUGUGGAGGGCCGAUGUCCCGGCACAAGGACGUGCUGCUCCUCCCGGUGUGGAUGCAGUUGCCAGCCCCAGAAAACUUGUACACAGGUAAGGACAUGAAUGAUGUUUCAGCUGGUUCACUUGAGGAGUGUAAAUAUUUGCACUGAAUCCUGCACCCACCCCCACUGCUGCAUUUUCAUGCCCAUCACCUGCCUGUCAUUUAGAUGUUCUCUUAAAGAUCAAACCCUUCCUGAAGGCUCCAAUGGGAUCUUUGAAAUGUUACAGAAAUCUGAAGUCAGUGUUUACAGAAGUCAUUUGGUACCUCUGACAUUCUUGCUGCCUCUUAUAACUCUACUCACCUCUUCGAGAUGGCGUGACCAGCAUUGCAUGCAGCACUCAAGACAUGGGCACACCAGGGAUUGAUAAAAUUGCAGAGUGAUGUUUU
rnacentral:lncRNA from 7 species